GUAAACUUCACAGCUCAGAAAAUAAUCACCGGCAUUGCAACGCGUGGCAGACCCAAAACCCCGCGUCAGCUUCCCCAAUGGGUGACGCAGUACCGCUUCAUGUACAGCAGAGACUGUGUGAUCUUCAACACGUACACGCACAAGAAUAGAUCAGACAUGAUGUUUUCUGCAAAUGUGGACGGAGACAGGAUUAGACUAAAUUUCCUGCCUUACCCUGUACUAGCCCGGUGUGCCAGAGUAAAUCCGACAGAUUGGCAUGACUGGAUCUCCAUGGCAUUUGAAAUCAAAGGUUGCGACUGAUCUUUAUUCACGGAUUUGUAAAUGUUUGGCAAAUUCAGAGACAAUGACAAACAACUAAUUUUCCAGCAUCAAUCCGAAAAUAAAGGAACACUCCACGUGUAUAAUUAUAUAUCCAUGUAUUGAUUGAUUUGAAAAGUGUAUAUAUUACUAUAUUAUUAAUCAGCUAUACUUUUGCUUUGGAUUUAACUGACCAAGUUAUUUAAAAGUAUAUUCGUAAAGAAUCAUAAGUAAUGCAGAUAUUGCAUUUGUGAUAUGGAUAACACGUUCAACUAGCGAGAUAUUAAUCAAUUACAACUAUUUUUUGAGAGGUGUUGGACCUGUUAUAGAUUAAUUGGAAUUGAACACGAAAAAAUAAUGCGAAACGGUCCAUAAUUCUAGUUGAUUAUGUUCUCCACAAUCAGCGGAACGCUUUUUCACGGGAGGCGUGCGACUGACUUGGAUCGCUUAUGUUGGUUAUGGGAGACAUCAACAUUUUUUCUAUUAAUUGUUAAAGCACUGUAUACUUAACAUGAGCCUUAACUAUAUGAUGCUAUAUUCUUUAAUCUUUUUGUAAAAAGAAGGUAUGUAGUU